UUUUAGAGCAGUCGCUGUUACUUAACACUCGAUUUGACAUCCAGACAACCACCAGACACAAGAAAUUCACACCACUGGAACCAGUAAAAGUCUUCCUCUGUGCAACAAUGUGGCACGAGACAUUAGAUGAGAUGAUGAAGAUAAUCAUUUCAAUAUUUCGCUUGGACAAGUAUCGGCCAAAGAAGGAAAAAGGAACCAGUGAUGUGGCCUUUGAAGGCCAUGUCUACUUUGACGACGCCUUCAGAGAUGU